GAUGAACGCUGGCGGCGUGCUUAACACAUGCAAGUCGAACGGACAGAUUAGAGCUUACUCUAAGAAGUUAGUGGCGGACGGGUGAGUAACGCGUGAGUAACCUACCUUAUACAGGGGAAUAACGUUUGGAAACAAACGCUAAUACCGCAUAAACUGAGUUUUUCGCAUGAAGAAUUUAGGAAAGAUUUAUCGGUAUAAGAUGGACUCGCGUUGGAUUAGCUAGUUGGCGGGAUAACAGCCCACCAAGGCAACGAUCCAUAGCCGGCCUGAGAGGGUGGACGGCCACACUGGGACUGAGACACGGCCCAGACUCCUACGGGAGGCAGCAGUGGGGAAUAUUGCACAAUGGGGGAAACCCUGAUGCAGCGACGCCGCGUGAAGGAAGAAGGUUUUCGGAUUGUAAACUUCUAUCAGCAGGGAAGAAAAAAAUGACGGUACCUGACUAAGAAGCCCCGGCUAACUACGUGCCAGCCGCCGCCGUAACAC
rnacentral:rRNA from 1 species